CCAGCAUCUGCUCAUCUAGAGGAUGCUACCUGAGUAUUUAGAGAUGUCCUGUGAGUGUCUCCCCACCUCUCCUCUACUCAUCUUCCCACCAGCCCAGCCAUGGACUGUUCUGCUGUUCAUGAAAUCACGGAUAAAACUCAAUCACAGGUGACAGUGAUGUGUCAUGCUACCAUCCCUGGGAAGUUUGUGUUUGUAAAGGAGCAUCUGGAGAGAGGGAAAUGCUUACUACUUGGAAUCUGGAGAUUUGGAGAAAAAUUUUGUUAAUUGAUAACCUUGUGUGUGUGUCCGGAAACCUCAAAAUCAUUUUUGGGGAAUAUGCAGCAGAUUUGGUUUUUCUCAGAGCACCUCCGAAGCUGCUGAAUGCUUGCAGGUACAGAGGUCUCCUGGUUCUCAGACUUUUCCACUACUCCCUUUUCUGUAAGUAGAAAUUGUUGUGAACCAGGUGGGGCAAAGACAUACUAGCAAAUUGAAAUUUUUAUGUAAAUGUUUUUUUGUGCACUGAUACUGCCAGGGGAGAUGUUAGGUAAAACACUGAGCAGACCUCAGACCUUUUGUUGCAAGGCGGUAAAGAUAGCAUUGACUAAAGGAGGUCUUUGUAGCCAUCGGAGAGCUGUUUGCUUCGUGAUGAGGUAAGCACCCUUUAAACAUUCUUGCUCUUGCGAUCUAGAAUUUAAAUUGAUGCCAAGUCCGGGAGGGGUAGAAUAGUGCUCCAGUAAUUACCCGGGGAGGGGUUGGGUCCUUUGAGCUUGGCAAAUGUAUUUAUUAUGUAGUUUGGCACAUUUACCCAAGGCAUAAUAUUGGCUUGGGCAAGCGGCAGGAUUUCAGCACUGGGGUGGAGGGUGAGCACCAGUGAGUUGGCCGAGAGCCAUCUUUGAACUCCACAUUUGCUCUGGGUGAUUAAAGGCCAUAUGAAAUUAAUGGAACCAAACUAGGUGACCUGUGAACUCUCUGUCCCCCUUACAGCAAAGUCAAAUGUGGGUGGGAAAGAGGGCAGAGGGGAGGGAAGUGGAGCUCGCAUCCCCUGUCCCAGAAAGUAGCCGAGCUAGGUUCCUAUUGUCCAGUGACACACACAGUCACUCCUCGUUCUCCCCUCCUCAAAAGGAACAAGACCCUUCCUUUCCUUGAUUCUGUCCAGUACAAUCAGUCUCACCUACCCACACACACCCUUCUCUUCGAAUUUCUCUCUUCUCUAAUGCAUAAGACUUGUGGGGGUGUGCACACACACAUGCACACACACACACCCUCACACACAGCCGCUGACCUGGAGGUGUUAGCCACUCUGCAGCUGCUGUUCUUCUCACAUUAAUCUAUAGGAAUCAAUGGACAUUUCAUUAGAGUAAUCAAGUGCGGAUGCAUCCUGCAUUUAUAUUCUGUCCCCCCACCCCGCUGCUUUCACAGACUAAUUGGUCCUACAGCCAAGAGUACAUGGAUAUUUUUCCCUAUAGAUGAAUGUCAAGAACGGUUUUUUACUGCUGGUUGAAAUACCUAUCAAUACGGCGUCUGUAUAAAAGCCUUCGCCCAUCAAAGCCGCAGAGCUGUUGAUAAUACAUUAUGCACUCUUGGUUCUAAUGCAUCUCACUUCCUUUUUUACACCUUACUGCACAUCCAUGCGCCAUUUAUGUUUGUCUCAUUCAAAGAAUUAACCAGC
rnacentral:lncRNA from 1 species